rnacentral:misc_RNA from 1 species
UCAAACUUGGUCAUUUAGAGGAAGUAAAAGUCGUAACAAGGUUUCCGUAGGUGAACCUGCGGAGGGAUCAUUACAGAGUUGAAAAACUCCCAAACCCACUGUGAACCUACCUAUAAUGCCUUGGCAGGCGGCCCCAGGGCGGGGCCAGCAACCGAAAGGUGCCUGCCGAAGGACCCAAAACUCUUGUCACUGAAAUUACCGAGUAUAAAGACGAAUCAGUCAAAACCUUCAACAACGGAUCUCUUGGUUCUGGCAUCGAUGAAGAACGCAGC